rnacentral:rRNA from 1 species
GGACAUCCCCUGCCGGCCAAAGGGGGCGACCCCGGUCACGGAUGGGCAUGCGGCGCAUUAGGUAGUUGGUGGGGCAACGGCCCACCAAGCCGACGAUGCGUAGGGGUUCUGAGAGGAAGGUCCCCCACAUUGGAACUGAGACACGGUCCAAACUCCUACGGGAGGCAGCAGUGAGGAAUAUUGGUCAAUGGCCGGAAGGCUGAACCAGCCAAGUCGCGUGAGGGAAUAAGGCCCUACGGGUCGUAAACCUCUUUUGUCAGGGAGCAAGGCCGCCCACGUGUGGACGGAAGGAGAGUACCUGGAGAAAAAGCAUCGGCUAACUCCGUGCCAGCAGCCGCGGUAAUACGGAGGAUGCGAGCGUUAUCCGGAUUUAUUGGGUUUAAAGGGUGCGUAGGCGGCCUGCCAAGUCAGCGGUAAAAUUGCGGGGCUCAACCCCGUACAGCCGUUGAAACUGCCGGGCUCGAGUGGGCGAGAAGUAUGCGGAGUGCGUGGUGUAGCGGUGAAAUGCAUAGAUAUCACGCAGAACCCCGAUUGCGAAGGCAGCAUACCGGCGCCCUACUGACGCUGAGGCACGAAAGUGCGGGGAUCAAACAGGAUUAGAUACCCUGGUAGUCCGCACAGUAAACGAUGAAUGCUAGCUGUCCGGGGGGAUUGACCCCUGGGUGGCACAG